rnacentral:rRNA from 1 species
UACGUAGGGUGCAAGCGUUGUCCGGAAUUAUUGGGCGUAAGAGCUCGUAGGCGGUCUGUCACGUCGGCUGUGAAAUCCCGAGGCUCAACCUCGGGUCUGCAGUCGAUACGGGCAAACUAGAGUAUUGCAGGGGAGACUGGAAUUCCUGGUGUAGCGGUGAAAUGCGCAGAUAUCAGGAGGAACACCGGUGGCGAAGGCGGGUCUCUGGGCAAUAACUGACGCUGAGGAGCGAAAGCGUGGGGAGCGAACAGG